AAUCCUCAGCGGAGGCCGGAGUAGAUGCAGUAUGGAGCGAGAACCAGGUGACAGGAGGCUCUUUUUCCGCGGUCUCCAGAGUUGCUCUCACGAGAAAAUGAAGCUGCGAAAGAGAAAGUCGGCCUUGUACUUCAGCUCCCAGAAGAGCACCGGGCUCCGCGGAGAUCAUCUUGGGGAAAACAUUUAUCUGGUCUUAUUUACCAUAGCAUUACGAAUAUGUAACUGCUUUUUAGUCCAGACAAGUUUCGUUCCAGAUGAGUACUGGCAGUCUCUUGAAGUUGCACAUCAUAUGGUUUUCAAUUAUGGUUAUUUGACCUGGGAAUGGACAGAAAGGUUGAGGGGUUAUACUUACCCCUUAAUCUUUGCAAGCAUUUACAAGAUUCUGUAUUUUUUGGGGAAAGAUAGUGUUCAGUUGCUGAUUUGGAUUCCUAGACUUGCCCAAGCAGUUCUGUCUGUUGUAGCAGACUUGAGGCUUUACUCAUUAAUGAAACAACUAGAAAAUCAGCAAGUGGCAAAAUGGGUGUUUUUUUGCCAGCUAUGCUCUUGGUUCACAUGGUAUUGCUGUACCAGAACUCUUACAAACACCAUGGAAACUGUUCUCACUAUACUUGCUCUUUUCUACUAUCCUUUGGAAGGUUCAAAGUCUAUGAACAGUAUCAAGUACUCAUCCCUGGUGGCACUUGCCUUCAUAAUUCGUCCCACAGCUAUCAUUCCAUGGAUACCUUUGCUCUUAAGACAUAUCUGGCAAGAACAGAGAAAGCUUGAUCUUAUUCUACAUCAUUUUUUACCUGUAGGAUUUGUCACUUUGAGUUGGUCUCUGAUAAUUGAUCGUAUGUUUUUUGGGCAAUGGACUCUGGUUCAAUAUAAUUUUUUGAGAUUUAACGUGCUGCAGAAUUUGGGAACAUUUUAUGGUUCUCAUCCAUGGCACUGGUACUUCAGUCAAGGAUUUCCAGUUGUCCUAGGUACUCACUUACCCUUCUUCAUUCAUGGCUGCUUUCUAGCCCCAAAGAGGUACCGGAUACUUUUGGUGACUGUGCUGUGGACACUGCUAGUAUAUAGCAUGUUGGGCCACAAAGAAUUCAGGUUUAUCUAUUCAGUUUUACCAUUUUGUAUGGUGUUUUGUGGGUAUUCACUAAACCACCUGAAAACAUGGAAGAAACCAGCUCUAAGUUUCUUGUUUUUAUCAAAUAUGCUUCUCGCUCUCUAUACUGGUUUAGUUCAUCAACGAGGUACUCUUGAUGUCAUGACUCAUAUUCAAGAACUCUGUUACAAAAAUCCUAAUAAAUCUGCAGCUUCGGUGUUUGUAAUGAUGCCUUGCCACUCUACUCCUUUUUAUAGCCAUGUCCACUACCCACUUCCAAUGAGAUUUCUUGAAUGUCCCCCAAACCUGACUGGAAAAAGUCAGUAUCUUGAUGAAGCAGAUAUAUUUUAUCUAAAUCCCUUAAACUGGUUGUAUAAAGAGUUUCACAACAAUUCAACAUUACCUACUCACUUGAUCAUCUUCAGCAUUUUGGAGGAGGAAAUAAGUGCUUUCCUAAUUUCAAGAAACUACGAGAGAACCGCUGUUUUCUUUCACACUCACUUGCCAGAGGGUCGAACUGGAAGUCACAUAUACGUCUAUGAACGGAAAUUAAAAGGGAAACUCAACAGAAGAUGAAAGUCUGAACUGUGUUUAGAUCUUUCCCAGAGAUAUAGAAACUACUGGGUAGAAAUAUUCAGAUGCUGCUUAAAAUGUGCUAGCAAACACUGGAUGUGCAAGAAAUUUCACAAGAGAACAAGUCAGCAAGUGCAUAAGAAGGCAGCAAAUUCUUCACAAGUCAACGGGGCUCUUGAACCCACAAAAAGACAAGAAGCAAGAGUAAGAUUAUAAAAUGUUAAAGAAGAAAUUCCAUC